rnacentral:rRNA from 1 species
CCUACGGGAGGCAGCAGUAAGGAAUCUUCCGCAAUGGGCGAAAGCCUGACGGAGCAACGCCGCGUGGGCGAUGAAGGCCUUCGGGUCGUAAAGCCCUUUUCUGUGGGACGAUAAUGACGGUACCACAGGAAUAAGCCACGGCUAACUACGUGCCAGCAGCCGCGGUAAUACGUAGGAACCGAGCGUUAUCCGGAUUCACUGGGCGUAAAGCGCGCGCAGGCGGUUUUGUAAGUCGGACGUGAAAGCUCCCGGCUUAACUGGGGGAGGUCGUUCGAUACUGCAGGGCUAGAGGUCGGGAGGGGGAAGCGGAAUUCCCGGUGUAGUGGUGGAAUGCGUAGAUAUCGGGAGGAACACCAGUGGCGAGGGCGGCUUCCGGGCCCGCACCUGACGCUGAGGCGCGAAAGCGUGGGGAGCGAACGGGAUUAGAUACCCCUGUAGU